UCCGGCUUAACGCCGGCAGUCUCCCUAGAGUGCCCAACUAAAUGGUGGCAACUAAGGACGAGGGUUGCGCUCGUUGCGGGACUUAACCCAACAUCUCACGACACGAGCUGACGACAGCCAUGCAGCACCUGUGUCCAGGUUCCCUUUCGGGCACACCCCCAUCUCUGGAGGCUUCCUGGCAUGUCAAGGGUAGGUAAGGUUCUUCGCGUCGCAUCGAAUUAAGCCACAUGCUCCGCCGCUUGUGCGGGCCCCCGUCAAUUCCUUUGAGUUUCAGCCUUGCGGCCGUACUCCCCAGGCAGGGCACUUAAUGCGUUAGCGCCGACACUCAGAGGGUCGCUCCCCCAAGCAUCUAGUGCCCAUCGUUUACGGCGUGGACUAC
rnacentral:misc_RNA from 1 species